UCAGAACAGGAAGUAUGAUAUUCCGUGAAAGCAGUGAUACGAGACAUCCUUGCUCUGAAACAUUUUGGCCUGCAAAAUUCCCACUAAUGUCACCUUUGUUCAUUACACAUAUCUGGUUCCUGUGGAUUUAUCAUUGACUCAACCCUAAACUCUUCACCAUUAUUGGACUCUUCUCUCAAGACAUCCAGGUACACCGAACAUUCUGUCAAUUGCAUCUUCUUCAAGAAAUAUGGCUGCAGCCUUCAAAUGCACUCCAGGCAGGACUGGUGGCCAUCUACGUCCAAAGCACCGUCUCAUCCUUGGCUGUCCCUUCACCCUCCUCCCAGGGAGUCUCUCUGUUUCUCUCCUGUGCUGGAUUCCCUGUUUCCUGUGCCCCAUCUUCCUCUUUCUGAGCUUCCUCCCUUAUUUGUGACAAGUGCAUCCUUCACCAGCAAAUCAAAG